rnacentral:rRNA from 1 species
UACAGAGGGUGCGAGCGUUAAUCGGAAUUACUGGGCGUAAAGGGCGCGUAGGCGGUGAAUUAAGUUAGAUGUGAAAUCCCUGGGCUUAACCUAGGAACUGCAUCUAAUACUGGUUUGCUAGAGUGCAGUAGAGGGUAGUGGAAUUUCCGGUGUAGCGGUGAAAUGCGCAGAUAUCAGGAGGAACACCCGUAGCGAAGGCGGCACUCUGGGCCGAUACUGACACUGAGGAGCGAAAGCGUGGGGAGCGAACAGG